GAUGAACGCUGGCGGCGUGCUUAACACAUGCAAGUCGAACGAGAAAUGGAGACGGAAACCUUCGGGCGGAAGGCUUCAUUUCGAGUGGCGGACGGGUGAGUAACGCGUGGGUAACCUGCCUCAUACAGGGGGAUAACAGUUGGAAACGACUGUUAAUACCGCAUAAGACCACAGCACCGCAUGGUGCGGGGGUAAAAACUCCGGUGGUAUGAGAUGGACCCGCGUUCGAUUAGCCAGUUGGCGGGGUAACGGCCCACCAAAGCGACGAUCGAUAGCCGAUCUGAGAGGAUGACCGGCCACAUUGGGACUGAGACACGGCCCAAACUCCUACGGGAGGCAGCAGUGGGGAAUAUUGCACAAUGGGGGAAACCCUGAUGCAGCGACGCCGCGUGAGUGAAGAAGUACUUCGGUAUGUAAAGCUCUAUCAGUAGGGAAGAAAAUGACGGUACCUGAGUAAGAAGCCCCGGCUAACUACGUG
rnacentral:rRNA from 1 species